rnacentral:rRNA from 1 species
GCCUGCCCAGUGACCAUGUGUUCAACGGCCGCAGUAUUUUAACCGCGCGAAGGUAGCGUAAUCACUUGUCUUCUAAAUAAAGACUAGUAUGAACGGCCACACGAGGACUUAACUGUCUCCCUUGCCUAAUCAGUGAAACUGAUCUCCUCGUGCAAAAGCGAGAAUAAUAACAUAAGACGAGAAGACCCUAUGAAGCUUUAAACUAAAUAUCAAACUCCUCCAUUACUCCUCUAAGGAACUAACCAAUAAGUCUAUUUGAUAUUAGUUUUAGGUUGGGGUGACCAGGGAGGAAAAAAAAUCCUCUCUGAUGACUUAAUAACCAAGAGCUACCUCUCUAAGUAUUGAGACACUUAACUCUAAUUGACCCACUUUGUGAUCAACGAACUAAGUUACUCUAGGGAUAACAGCGCUAUCCAUUUCAAGAGUUCCUAUCGACAAAUGGGUUUACGACCUCGAUGUUGGAUCAGGGCAUCCUAGUGGUGCAACCGCUACUAAAGGUUCGUUUGUUCAACGAUUAAAGCCCU